rnacentral:rRNA from 1 species
UACGGGGGGGGCAAGCGUUGUUCGGAAUUACUGGGCGUAAAGGGCUCGUAGGUGGCCAACUAAGUCAGACGUGAAAUCCCUCGGCUUAACCGGGGAACUGCGUCUGAUACUGGAUGGCUAGAGUGUGGGAGAGGGAUGCGGAAUUCCAGGUGUAGCGGUGAAAUGCGUAGAUAUCUGGAGGAAUACCGGUGGCGAAGGCGGCAUCCUGGACCGACAUUGACGCUGAGGAGCGAAAGCUAGGGGAGCAAACGGG